UACGUAGGCAGCAAGCGUUGUUCGGAGUUACUGGGCGUAAAGGGUGUGUAGGCGGUUUUUUAAGUUUGGUGUGAAAUCUCCCGGCUCAACUGGGAGGGUGCGCCGAAUACUGAAAGACUAGAGUGCGGGAGAGGAAAGUGGAAUUCCUGGUGUAGCGGUGAAAUGCGUAGAUAUCAGGAGGAACACCGGUGGUGUAGACGGCUUUCUGGACCGUAACUGACGCUGAGACACGAAAGCGUGGGUAGCAAGCAGG
rnacentral:rRNA from 1 species